UGAGCCUUGAUAUUCAAAUGUAAGUGUUGUAGAAACAGGGCUUUUGAACCUUAUCCUGUUAGUUGCCAAGUGCCUUAUUUGCUGUCUGAGCUAGUGGGAGAUCUGCCUGCUUGAUAGCUUGUAGCUCUGUUAUCCAGAAAACCAUAAAGGAAGGAGUGGGUUUGCUUUAGGGUGUAAAAAUAUAUUUUACUUGAUGUUAAUUCCUACAGCUGACUACACAACUGGCUCUGAGUGACCUCCCAGAGGAUGUCUUAGAAGGAAUGUUAUGGUGGUAUGUCCUGCUAAGAGGCUGUGACUGAUGAUCCUACUUUAAAUUAUGUUUUGGAUGAGGCAGAUACAAGCAAUAACAAUGUGCAUGUUAGAAUAAAUCUUCACUCAUUUCAAGUGGGUAAUUAAAGUUGUCAGUGACUUGAUUUGGGAUCAAGAUUUCUAUAGGAGCAAGGGAAGGGUCAGUCUUUAGAUAUAUUUGCUGCUCUUGUUUGGUGUCUGAGAGUCUGUCUGCUAUCUCCCCUUCUACAGAAAUAGCAGCUUUUUUGUUUUCCUACGAUGCUUGUUUAUCCUAUGAUGCUUGAAAUCUGAACUUUUGCAUUAGUAUAUCUACCUAAAGUUAAUAAUGAGAAUCCUGACCUGGUUCAAAUCAACCGGAUUUUUUUUCCCUUUCAGUUCAGUUAAUGGCCUUUCUAUUUUUCACUCAAUACCCUUUUUUAAGAACAGCUUUUAAAAACCUGGGAUUGGAAGUAGUGCUAUAUCCUCUGCCUUAUGAAAAAACAGAUGAAGAAGAUGUGUUCAUGUAGCCAAUCAAUAGUUUUUUAACUUGGCUGUUUUAACUUUAUAUUUUUUGGAGGUGAUUAUCUCCAAAACCAGAUAGUCUGUCUAAUGGGUAUAGUAAAGGUGAUCUCUUUUAGGUUAUUUAGUUCAAUUUCCAACAGAAGUGAACUAUUCAGGAAGUGUAUUUAGAAGAGUCUAUUUUUAAAGAGUUCUAAGGCUAGAACAAAGGACAGAAGAUCAUGAUGAUAUGCUGGUAGGGCUGCCACACACAGAAGUACAAUAGCAAGCACCUCUGACUGUGGAGGAACUGUCGAAGCACUGUAAAAUGUAGUUGCUAUGUGUGAAAGAUCAAGCAGGUUAACUCCUGGGAUUUUUUUCUAUCAAGAUACUUUCUUCCUUCCAUUCUGUUGCCUGCUGUCUUCAGAGCACAGUGAUAUUGAGGCUCUGCAGAUAUAAAACAUCUGUCUUUCCAUCUCCAGUGCACUACAGAAGGAUAGCUUUCAAUUUAGUAAUAAAAAAUUUAGCUGCAUGUCAGGCUGCCUUUGUUUUUAGGAAUUUUUAUCAUCCUUGAGGCUACAGGCUAGAUAGGUAUCCCAGUAUUUUCUAUAAUGUAACCCUAUUGUUCAUUUUUUAAAAAGAAUAUUUGUAGCCAUUGUUACGGAAUCCAGAUGUAUUUAAUUUAGUCAGGAUUAGGGGCCUAAAUUAUUUUGUAUUGUGCAAUUUAGUGUUCUCUUAUGUGUCUGAAUUCUGUUCUUGAGAUGUAUGAAAACAACAGCAGGCUUGGUGUUGUAAGGAAAGAGUUCACAGUGCUAUAUUAAAAUGAAUUUGGAAAUAGGUUCAUUUUAUUAAUUUUAAAUAAUUGAAAAUGCACUUAUAUAAAACACUGGAAUUUUCAUAUUGCAAUCAAUUUGCUUAAUUUGGUUCAUUGGGUACAAAUAAGUAUGAACUAAAAAUGCACAUACACAAUGUUGUAUGCAGAAGUAGGUUUUAAAAUCAGGUCUUGAGAAUAAAUGAUAAAGUUUAUGUUUUCAGGUUAUACAAGGCAAAUAUAAUUAUAAUGCCUUUAUUGGUAGUCACCACAGGCUUAAGCUUUCAGGUUUGAACUCACAUAAAACUGUCUUAUUUUAUGAGCUAUGUCAUGUUAGUGUUGGAUAACUGGCUAGAAGAUAAAUCUGUACUUAAUAGAAAUGUCUGAGUUGAUGAUGUUUGAUAUAAUUUCUAUAGAAAGUCUAAUUUUGUUGUGAGGAAAAGAGCAGUUUUAUGGACAGCUUUAGCUGUAGGCAUGAUUACUAUCCCUCAUCAUUGCAUAUAUUCUCAGUAAUAUUUUUGCAUUUUGCACCUUAUUUAGUAUUUGAGGAUUUUAUUUUUAUUUUCAUUUUAUGCUUACUCACAGUGUACUGUUGUGCUAAAGUUUGGAGGUUUCUGUUGUUUAUAGCCAUUUUCAUAAUGGUAGAAUCAUAGAACAGUUUGUGUUGGGAGGGGUAGCCCACAGCCCCCACAGUGAGCAGUGACAUCUUCAACUCGAUCUGGUUGCACAGAGCCUUCUCUUCCCCAGGCUGAAUGACCCCACCUCUCUCAGCUUGUCUUCAUAGGAGAUGUGCUCCAGACUUCUGAUCAUCUUCAUGGCCCUCCUCUGGAUUUGCUCCAAUGGAUCCAUGCUCUUCUUAUGUUGAGUGCCCCAGAGCUGGGUGCAGUACUGCCGGUGGGGAUCUCAUGAGAGUGGAGGAGAGGGGGAGAAUCACCUUUGAGAACUCUGUUGAGGACUAAUUAAUGCUCUGCUGAGAACAAAUUCUGAGGUAUCCAGUAAAAGCAAGUUUCUGGGGAGCAGGUCUCAGAUCUUUGUUUAGAUCUGAGAUGUCUGGUGGUGUUGAAAAAGGAGGAAGGAGCUCACUAUGUCUGGUGAUCGUUCAGUAUAAAGGCAGUUAGAGAUGACUCCUUCACGUUGUGUUUUAGGAGGACAGGACCAGAGACUCAUGGCUUAUUUUAGAAGAGUUCUCCUUGUCCUUCAUUAACUGAAUGUAGCAUGAACCACUCUCAUAACUGAUUAGCAUGGGUUGUACAGCAUACAGACACUAGUCAGCUUCGCCUAGCAUAGUCCCUGUAAAACUGGCAUUUAAGCCAGCUGGCAUCUUUCUGCUGUAUUCUGGGAUUGAGAACAUGAAACGCAGUUUGUUUGGAAGGAAAGAAAUCCAGUGAGCCUUGGAAAAGCUGAGAAAAUAUCUUCCUUUCUGAUAAAAUAAAUGAGAUUUUAGCUGAA